AUUGAACGCUGGCGGCAGGCCUAACACAUGCAAGUCGAACGGUAACAGGAAUCCGCUUGCUGCUUUGCUGACGAGUGGCGGACGGGUGAUUAAUGUCUGGGAAACUGCCCGAUGGAGGGGGAUAACUACUGGAAACGUUCGCUAAUACCGCAUAACGUCGCAAGACCAAAGAGGGGGACCUUAGGGCCUCUUGCCAUCGGAUGUGCCCAGAUGGGAUUAGCUAGUAGGUGGGGUAACGACUCACCUAGGCGACGAUCCCUAGCUGUGGUGAGAGGAUGACAAGCGAAACAGGAACAGAGACACGGGGCAGACACCUACGGGAGACAGAAGUGUGGAAAAUUGCACAAUAGGCGCAAGACUGAUGCAGACAUGCGGCGUGUAUGAAGAAGGGCUUUGGGUGGUAAAAUACUUUCAGCGGGGAGGAAAGGAGUAAAGUUAAAACCUAGGCUCAUUGACGUUACACGCAGAAGAAAAACAGGCUAAAACCGUG
rnacentral:rRNA from 1 species